UACGGAGGGGGCGAGCGUUAUUCGGAAUUAUUGGGCGUAAAGGGCGCGUAGGCGGCCCGGUAAGUCAAAGGUGAAAUCCCUCGGCUCAACUGAGGAACUGCCUUUGAAACUGUCGGGCUUGAGGCCGGGAGGGGGUAGCGGAAUUCCCAGUGUAGCGGUGAAAUGCGUAGAGAUCGGGAGGAACACCAGUGGCGAAGGCGGCUACCUGGACCUCGGCUGACGCUGAGGCGCGAAAGCGUGGGGAGCGAUCCGG
rnacentral:rRNA from 1 species